rnacentral:rRNA from 1 species
CCCGGCGACCGGCGCACGGGUGAGUAACACGUAUGCAACCUGGCCGCCACAGGGGAAUAACCCGCGGAAACGCGGCCUAAUACCCCGUGACGCCACCGGAGGGCAUCCUCCGGUGGCCAAAGGAGCGAUCCGGUGGCGGAUGGGCAUGCGGCGCAUUAGCUAGACGGCGGGGUGACGGCUCACCGUGGCGACGAUGCGUAGGGGUUCUGAGAGGAAGGCCCCCCACACUGGGACUGAGACACGGCCCAGACUCCUACGGGAGGCAGCAG